rnacentral:rRNA from 1 species
AUUGAACGCUGGCGGCAGGUCUAACACAUGCAAGUCGAGCGGAUGAAGGGAGCUUGCUCCUGGAUUCAGCGGCGGACGGGUGAGUAAUGCCCAGGAAUCUGCCUGGUAGUGGGGGAUAACGUCCGGAAACGGGCGCUAAUACCGCAUACGUCCUGAGGGAGAAAGUGGGGGAUCUUCGGACCUCACGCUAUCAGAUGAGCCUAGGUCGGAUUAGCUAGUUGGUGGGGUAAAGGCCUACCAAGGCGACGAUCCGUAACUGGUCUGAGAGGAUGAUCAGUCACACUGGAACUGAGACACGGUCCAGACUCCUACGGGAGGCAGCAGUGGGGAAUAUUGGACAAAGGGCGAAAGCCUGAUCCAGCCAUGCCGCGUGUGUGAAGAAGGUCUUCGGAUUGUAAAGCACUUUAAGUUGGGAGGAAGGGCAGUAAGUUAAUACCUUGCUGUUUUGACGUUACCAACAGAAUAAGCACCGGCUAACUUCGUG